AAGCAUUGAAUUCAAUGGCAUUUAAAAGAGAUUUCCUGCCUCAUAUGUCCACCUCAUUAAUUUCUUGCCAAUGUGCAAACAUUCUCUCUGAGCCUCCCAACCAAGGUAUUGCAAACAAAAAUGAGCUGAAUAAUAUCCAUAGAAAUCUCCUUGGCACGAGGAGCCUCCAAGAACUUAAUCAGGAGCUGUUGACAUUGCCAGGUCUAUUCAACCAGCCCAGACUCCUGGCUCCCAUGACACUGGCUUUCUUUAAAAAGGAAUCCCUGGCCUCGGGCAAAUAUGCUAAGACCAGAAUUGCUGCCCAGGCUCUCCGAGAUCGAGAGCCGGCCAAACUCAUCCUUAGCCUCUCGUCCCCAUCAGUCUUAGUUGGCCAUUCUGUUGGCCUGGCCCGAAGGAAAUGAAAAAGUUUUUAGGCCCAUCUGCUGCCUUCUUGGCCUCCUCAUUCAAUUGCCACCGGCGUCUCUGGCUUUUGUGCUCCUCCGCAGCUCCUUCGAUGGUGCCCCCCAAGAACCCUGAGGUCUUUGAGUUUUCACUUAGGCUUUUUGCAUAAUCAAGAUAAACGAUAAGUAAAUUUAUCUUUAUUAACAAAUCUUUAACGUGGCCGAGUAAUUUAUUUGCGGUUGGCCUCCGUCAGACGAAAUUUUCACCAGCGGCCCUUUUCUUAUUUGACUGACAUUUGAAAUUGAGUUUCGGUCUGCGGUUUGUAUAAGGCCAGGAAGUCGGAUUUGUUUGUCAGU
ensembl:ncRNA lncRNA:CR43840 long non-coding RNA:CR43840